UCCGAGCUACUGAUUAUUAUAAAAAUGACUUUUUUACAAUUCAAGGCGCAUAAACAGCGCCACAAUUGCACAAAACUGCGAAUUUUCAGCCAAAAAUUGCAGUCGGGUACCAGCGUCAUAAAAUUUUGCAAAGCUAGUCUUAAGACGAUAAUUUCACUCGUAGCUUAUCGAAUAUUUCAUAAUAUGUACAUUCCAUGCAUUUUUAACGCUUCUAGCGAUAAGUUUAAAGCUAUUUGUGAGCCCUGGGACAUAAAACAGCUUAUCUAGCAGGAAGAGAAGUAAGCGGCAUUCAUUCUCGUCAUAAUGAAGAAGCAUCCAAACGUUCUCAUGGGUGCAGCAUUGGCGUGCUUAGAAUUGUGACCAUAAUAUGCAGUUCGAGCUGAGGAAUCCAUGCAAUUAGUGGAACGUUUAGAAGUUACAAAAAAUUGUAGGCAAGUCUUCGAAGGUGCUGAAAUUUCAGAAGGCGGUGCCUGUCGAAUUCUGGCGGACUCUGAGGACAAACUGAGGACAAUGCAGAGCACCCAAGAUCUCACACCCUAGAUUAUAUCUGAGAGAAAUUUAAGCCAGAAAAUCAAUGUCAACAAGUCAAGGACGUGGCCAGAAAAUGUGAUGAUGACGAUGCGGUGCGCCUCCCGCCGGUUGCGGCCGGCAACAUCUCGCGCCGCUUGGUAAACACAGCGCCAGGCAUCUCUGCGCCAGACCUGUAGAAAUGGAAAUUGAACGCAUGAACUCGUGUCAAAAAGCGAGAUUAUGUGUCCAACUGGUCACUGGCAAACGCCGGCAUGACCACAUAUCCAGCUGAUUUAGAACAGUUAUGGUGGUGCGACGCGCAACAGUUGUUUACUUUUCACAUGGUGUGGAAUGUGGAUGUUGGAACGUGUCCUUGUUAAUUACCAGUCCGAGAGCAUAUUUAUAACUCAGCACCUUAGCAGCUAAAGCCAGGCAGCAACAUGACCAUUAGGCCCGUCAGGCUCGCUAGUAUACCCUUCCUAUAAGACAAACCGAGUCCGCGGCAGAAUCAGGCUGCGCUACCACGGUGUCACGAUGUUCAGUGCAGAGUCAAUGUCCGAUGCCUGGUGUCCCUGGAUUUCGCUUGGCCGUCAACCAGAAGUCAAAACGGUAAAGCACAAUGGAACAUGGAGUGGGUGUGCAAAUGUAAACAGGAAGGGCAUUUGGGACAAAUUUCCGGCAUUUAGGGCAAAUGCCCGUAUACAGCGCCUAAAAUCGACGAUUUUUUCUAGAAUAGAAAUAAAUCGAAAAAAUUAUAUGAAAAAAAUAUUUGCUUUAGCUAGACAGCUGUGCGUAAGGAAUUCAAAUCAGAUUAGUUGGGCGUAUGCCCUCCACCGCUUCCGAGACUUUCUGGAUCCGCCUGUGGUUAUCGUCUUUAUUGGUAUUCGCGCAAUACUAGACGUGAAUAUGGUCGAAAACCCGACAUGUUAUGCGGAUCUCUUUCAAAUACACAAAAUGUCAACGAUUGUAAUGCAUGCUGCUGAAAGAUUUCUCGUGCUACUACUUUUUGUUCGAAAUAUAUAUCCCAAUGAAA